rnacentral:lncRNA from 1 species
CCUAUUCACCAUGCCCGAUCCUAGGACUAGUGUUCAUAACCGCAACAACUGGCUCUACAAUCUGAACGAAACCCCCUCUCCUGCUAGAUCCACUGAAUCCAUCCAGGACUAUGAGAUUUGUGAUGACUAUGAGAUUUAUGAUGACCAGAUUCCUUAUGCUGAAUCAGAUCCUCAGACACCAUCUGGAUAUUAUGAUAUUGAUCCUCCUCCUCAACCUGCUCAGACCGAAGAAUCGGC